rnacentral:rRNA from 1 species
GAUGAACGCUAGCUACAGGCUUAACACAUGCAAGUCGCGGGGCAGCAUUAGGGCAGCGAUGCCUUAGAUGGCGACCGGCGGAUGGGUGAGUAACGCGUAUCCAACCUGGCCCUUUCCCGGGCACAGCCCCUCGAAAGAGGGAUUAAUUCCCGAUGUUCCCGCAGGUCCGCAUGGUCCUUCGGGCAAAGGUUCAUUCCGGAAAGGGAUGGGGAUGCGUUCCAUUAGGCGGACGGCGGGGUAACGGCCCACCGUGCCAUCGAUGGAUAGGGGUUCUGAGAGGAAGGUCCCCCACAUUGGGACUGAGACACGGCCCAAACUCC